AGAAAAUCGAUACCCUGCCUAUCAUUCAGCAACUAAACGCGAAGAAAGUAAUUUGUUCCCGUGAAUUUUUUUACUCGUGACUAAUCAACAAUUUAAAGCGAUGCCGCCGCCUCACGCAAUGCCCUGUGGGCCGCAUUGCGGUACUUACUGCGCGCCGCACUGCUAUCACCACCGACCGCCACCGCCGCCGCCAUUCCACCACCAUCCGCCGCCGCCACAUCAUCACCAUCCACCGCCGCCACCUCAUCACCACCCUCCCCCACCGCAUCAUCAUCACCCGCCGCCGCCACCGUUCCACCACCCACCGCACCACCACGGGCCGCCGCCUCACUGGCGAUAGACUGUUUUGAAAAGAUCUUCAAGCUGUGAUAAAUGAUAAUGUUGAAUCAAUCAUUAAUUUCGAAGAGUUCUUUAGUGUGAUUUUAAAUUGCUUUCCGUUUUUAAACUUUAUUGUGCUUCUUGAACAUUGAAGUGGAUUCUGUUACUGUGUUAUUUUAUUAUUUGUUGUAUUAAACGAUUUUCCA